rnacentral:rRNA from 1 species
AUGGAGGGAGGAGUGAUCUCGUUGCCGGCGCCGGCGCCGGUUUCUUGCCUCGCCAACAGGGAGUUCCAGGCCACCCCCACCCCCAGCCCGUCCGACGAGUCGACGGUCCUCCGCGAGCUGAACGUUUCCGUCUCCCUCGCCGGUCUGGACAUCUCCCGCGGCCACCACGGCGAGCCGGACGUCCUGGGCCAGAGACGCAGCAAGUGCAAGCCCAAGGUCCGGACAGUCUCCAAGAUGCACAUGGCGGCCAAGGCCAAGGCCAGGGCGGAGAAGGCGGCGGCGGCGGCGCUCGACAAGGCCAAGGCGGAGAAAGAGGCGGCGCCUGCUGGUGGUGCUGCAACCCCCGAUUGGUUGAGGCUCGACCUGUAUCUGGUUGACGGGUACGGGUUCAAGGAGCAGAGGACGGUGAAGAUGGACCAUCGGAACGGCUAUAUCAAGUGGCUGCUCGAGUGGGACAAGAAGCCGCGCCCUCCCCUGCCCAACCUCCCCGAGGAGUGCCGCGAGGCCAUGGACGCCAUCAAGGCUCAGCGCGACCACGACUAG